AUACGGAGGAUGCAAGCGUUAUCCGGAUUUAUUGGGUUUAAAGGGUGCGUAGGCGGGAUUUUAAGCGUGAGGUGAAAUGCCACGGCUCAACCGUGGAACUGCCUCGCGAACUGGGAUUCUUGAAUGCCCCUGCCGUGGGAGGAAUGUGUGGUGUAGCGGUGAAAUGCAUAGAGAUCACACAGAACACCGAUUGCGAAGGCAUCUCACGAAGGGGUGAUUGACGCUGAGGCACGAAAGCGUGGGGAUCAAACAGGAUUAGAUACCCUGGUAGUCCACGCAGUAAACGAUGAUAACUAACCGCUGGGGAGCGAUUUUCAGUGGCCAAGCGAAAGCGAUAAGUUAUCCACCUGGGGAGUACGACCGCAAGGUUGAAACUCAAAUGAAUUGACGGGG
rnacentral:rRNA from 1 species